GGCGGACGGGUGAGUAAUGCCUAGGAAUCUGCCUGGUGGUGGGGGACAACGUUKCGMAAGGAACGCUAAUACCGCAUACGUCCUACGGGAGAAAGCAGGGGACCUUCGGGCCUUGCGCUAUCAGAUGAGCCUAGGUCGGAUUAGCUAGUAGGUGAGGUAAAGGCUCACCUAGGCGACGAUCCGUAACUGGUCUGAGAGGAUGAUCAGUCACACUGGAACUGAGACACGGUCCAGACUCCUACGGGAGGCAGCAGUGGGGAAUAUUGGACAAUGGGCGAAAGCCUGAUCCAGCCAUGCCGCGUGUGUGAAGAAGGUCUUCGGAUUGUAAAGCACUUUAAGUUGGGAGGAAGAGCAGUAAGUUAAUACCUUGCUGUUUUGACGUUACCAACAGAAUAAGCACCGGCUAACUUCGUGCCAGCAGCCGCGGUAAUACGAAGGGUGCAAGCGUUAAUCGGAAUUACUGGGCGUAAAGCGCGCGUAGGUGGUUCAGCAAGUUGAAGGUGAAAUCCCCGGGCUCAACCUGGGAACUGCCUCCAAAACUAUUGAGCUAGAGUACGGUAGAGGGUAGUGGAAUUUCCUGUGUAGCGGUGAAAUGCGUAGAUAUAGGAAGGAACACCAGUGGCGAAGGCGACUACCUGGACUGAUACUGACACUGAGGUGCGAAAGCGUGGGGAGCAAACAGGAUUAGAUACCCUGGUAGUCCACGCCGUAAACGAUGUCGACUAGCCGUUGGGAUCCUUGAGAUCUUAGUGGCGCAGCUAACGCAUUAAGUCGACCGCCUGGGGAGUACGGCCGCAAGGUUAAAACUCAAAUGAAUUGACGGGGGCCCGCACAAGCGGUGGAGCAUGUGGUUUAAUUUCGA
rnacentral:rRNA from 1 species